AUUGAACGCUGGCGGAAUGCUUUACACAUGCAAGUCGAGCGGCAGCGCGGGGCAACCUGGCGGCGAGCGGCGAACGGGUGAGUAAUGCAUCGGAACAUGUCCAUGUCGUGGGGGAUAGCCCGGCGAAAGCCGGAUUAAUACCGCAUACGCUCGAGAGAGGAAAGCCGGGGACCGCAAGGCCUGGCGCGAUUGGGUUGGCCGAUGUCCGAUUAGCUAGUUGGUGAGGUAAAGGCUUACCAAGGCGAUGAUCGGUAGCUGGUCUGAGAGGAUGAUCAGCCACACUGGGACUGAGACACGGCCCAGACUCCUACGGGAGGCAGCAGUGGGGAAUUUUGGACAAUGGGGGCAACCCUGAUCCAGCCAUUCCGCGUGAGUGAAGAAGGCCUUCGGGUUGUAAAGCUCUUUUGUCCGGAGCGAAACGGUUGUGGUGAAUAUCCACGACUACUGACGGUACCGGAAGAAUAAGCACCGGCUAACUACGUGCCAGCCGCCGCCGUAACAC
rnacentral:rRNA from 1 species